rnacentral:rRNA from 1 species
CCUACGGGGGGCUGCAGUAAGGAAUAUUGGUCAAUGGAGGAAACUCUGAACCAGCCAUCCCGCGUGAAGGAUGAAGGGGCUCUGCCUUGUAAACUUCUUUUGUCUGGGGCGAAAAAGCUCGAUUUAUCGAGAACUGACGGUACCAGAAGAAUAAGCACCGGCUAACUCCGUGCCAGCAGCCGCGGUAAUACGGAGGGUGCAAGCGUUAUCCGGAAUCACUGGGUUUAAAGGGUGCGUAGGCGGCUUAGUAAGUCAGUGGUGAAAGGCUGUGGCUUAACCAUGGAAUUGCCAUUGAUACUGCAGAGCUUGAAUGAGGUUGAGGUUGGCGGAAUGUGACAUGUAGCGGUGAAAUGCUUAGAUAUGUCAUGGAACACCGAUUGCGAAGGCAGCUGACUGGACCUAUAUUGACGCUGAGGCACGAAAGCGUGGGGAGCGAACAGGCUUAGAUACCCCAGUAGUC